rnacentral:rRNA from 1 species
GCGCCUUAUGCAUGCAAGUCGAGCGAAGCUUUUCAGUAGUUUACUACAGAAAAUGACUGAGCGGCGAACGGGUGAGUAACGCGUGAGCAACCUACCUUAGUUACUGGGAUAGCCCGAGGAAACUCGGAUUAAUACCGGAUAUUCUUAUUUAAUCACAUGAUUAUUUAAGGAAAGGUCAGCCGAACUAAGAUGGGCUCGCGUUCUAUCAGCUAGUUGGUAGGGUAAUGGCCUACCAAGGCUACGACGGAUAGCUGGUCUGAGAGGACGAUCAGCCACACUGGGACUGAGACACGGCCCAGACUCCUACGGGAGGCUGCAGCAGGGAAUAUUGCGCAAUGAGCGAAAGCUUGACGCAGCGACACCGCGUGUGGGAUGACGGAUCUAGGUUUGUAAACCACUUUCAGGAGGGAAGAAAAUGACGGUACCUCCACAAGAAGCCCCGGCCAACUACGUGCC